CUGGGGAGGCUGGGGAGGCUGGCGUCACUCGAGUCCAGCCACCGUGGCCCUUCCAGCU
rnacentral:pre_miRNA from 1 species